UACGUAGGGUGCAAGCGUUGUCCGGAAUUAUUGGGCGUAAAGAGCUCGUAGGCGGUCUGUUGCGUCCGCUGUGAAAACUCGGGGCUUAACCCCGAGCCUGCAGUGGAUACGGGCAGACUAGAGGUAGGUAGGGGAGAAUGGAAUUCCCGGUGUAGCGGUGAAAUGCGCAGAUAUCGGGAGGAACACCGGUGGCGAAGGCGGUUCUCUGGGCCUGACCUGACGCUGAGGAGCGAAAGCGUGGGGAGCGAACAGG
rnacentral:rRNA from 1 species